GACGAACGCUGGCGGCGUGCUUAACACAUGCAAGUCGAACGGAAAGGCCCUGCUUUUGUGGGGUGCUCGAGUGGCGAACGGGUGAGUAACACGUGAGUAACCUGCCCUUGACUUUGGGAUAACUUCAGGAAACUGGGGCUAAUACCGUAUAGGAGCUCCUGCUGCAUGGUGGGGGUUGGAAAGUUUCGGCGGUUGGGGAUGGACUCGCGGCUUAUCAGCUUGUUGGUUGGGUAGUGGCUUACCAAGGCUUUGACGGGUAGCCGGCCUGAGAGGGUGACCGGCCACAUUGGGACUGAGAUACGGCCCAGACUGCUACGGGAGGCAGCGGUGGGGAAUAUUGCACAAUGGGAGGAAGCCUGAUGAAGCAACGCCGCGUGCGGGAUGACGGCCUUCGGGUUGUAAACAGCUUUCGCCUGUGACGAAGCGUGAGUGACGGUAAUGGGUAAAGAAGCACCGGCUAACUACGUG
rnacentral:rRNA from 1 species